rnacentral:rRNA from 1 species
CGAGCGCACCCCUAUCCUUAUUUGCCAGCGCAUAAUGGCGGGAACUAUAAGUUAGACUGCCGGUCAUAAACCGGAGGAAGGCGGGGACGAUGUCAAGUCAUCAUGGCCCUUAUGGGUAGGGCUACACACGUGAUACAAUGGGUGGUACAGAGGGUCGCCAAAGCGCGAGCUGGAGCCAAACCCUUAAAACCAUUCUUAGUCCGGAUUGGAGUCUGCAACUCGACUCCAUGAAGUCGGAAUCGCUAGUAAUCGCGAAUCAGAAUGUCGCGGUGAAUACGUUCUCGGGCCUUGUACACACCGCCCGUCACGUCAUGGAAGUGGGUUGCACCAGAAGUGGCUUGUUUAACCUUCGGGAAAACGGUCACCACGGUGUGAUUCACAACUGGGACGAAGUCGUAACAAGGUAGCCCUAGGGGAACCUGGGGCUGGAUCACCUCCUU